ACAUUUUGACCACAAUUUCCUAACUAGUUUUUUACUUUGAGAACUGAACUGAUAAAAUGGAAUAUGAACACAACUAAAAGAAAAGCAUAUCAAAUCUUUACAUAUAUUGCUCUUAAUCGUCCUCUAGAAACUUCCAAACUUGGCGUAAAAAUGCUAUCAAUACCAAACAUUUGAACUAUUUUGUUAAACUUUCAAAGCUUCUACUGGAUUGUUUAUUAACUUUCUUUGUUCCUUCUGAAAGUCGCUAUUUCUUGAGUUAUUUGGAAAAAUGCAGGAGAACUUUAUAGAAUAACCAACCAUUAUCCAACUUAAAAAAAUUCUCUGUAGUGUCUACAGAAUAUACACUCCCAAUAAUCUUAUUAGAUAUUCUUCUGAGUUCUGGCUGGUACAGCAACAAAAGCUUUAAUGAAAGGCAUAUAAACAUGGAAGAAAGAGACAAUGAUGAAGAAGGUAAGAUUGUCACACAACUAUCCAGAUCCCCUGGGUUAUCAAUGAGUAGGGUCUGUUACCAACGUACUAACAAGGAAUUUGAGGUUUCACAUGACUUUGAGGAAGCAGAAAAGCAGUUGGAAUUGGUGUCCAAACGUGGCGAUGGUUUCAUUGCAAGAUGAGCAGGACAGUUCCAAGUUCUUGGGUAUCUGCAAUUUUGAAGUUGUUUCAGAUUCUGUCUUAUUGAAUUUGUGAACAACUCUGUCCAGGUACCUAUAUCACACAACAUUUACUGGAAGGAGUUAUCGCUGCUUGUGUAUGUCUCGGUGGCUUUUCUUAUUGUUCACAUUGUUAAGGUAAGGUACCAACUGCAGUCCCUGAUACGCUCUUUGAAGCUAUAUGCUUAUGCAAAAGCACAAGGGUGAUUGCAUCCAAAGGAAAGGAAAUCACAAACUGGAAGUUGCAUCAGAUUUUUCUUUACUGCAGCUGUGGGAUGGUAGUUGGUACUUGGUAUGGUGGCUGAUAGCCUAUCAUCCAUAACAUACAUUUUCGGGUAUCAUAACUGAAAAUAUCAGGAAGGGAAAAUCACAUCUGCAACCAAAAUAAGCUGGAAGCGAGAUUGAUGAUUUCUUAUCUUUAGCAGGUAGCAAGUGCUACAUCCACCUUUGCAAUGCUAUUCUCAUCCUCCAUGUCAGUUGACCUUCUCAACCGUUUCCCAGUCCCAUAUGAAAGUAGUAGCAACAAUCUAAUUUAAGUUGAGAUGUCAAAAAUUAUUCAACUUUCAUUAAGCUUAUAGCCACUCAUAUAUUCAAAAUAUACCAGAAAAAAGAAGGGAAC